GCCCGCCUGCCACGUCACUUUGCCUCCACCAUCCUCCCUUUCUCAUUCUUUCUUUUCAUUUCGCUUUGCUUCUUCGCAAAAGGCAACCGACAUGAAAAUGCGCUCUUGCUAGUUGGUGUUCGGGAACAGAGAGGCCUCUGGAUUGGAGUUAAACUUUGUCAGUGAAGUAAGUUGUAUCUUUUAGGGGUCUUUUAAUUUCGCUGGAAGAAUGGAUACGACUGAGGCCUUGGGCAGAAGAUCGAGCAGGUAGUGACCUGCAGCCGCAAUGACCUCAGGGUCCUUCCUCCCAUCAGAGUCCUCCUCACCCCCCCGCCUGCCCAGUGUUCAGACUACCUGUUCAUCAGGCUACAGCUGAACAGUAGUCUGCACAUUGGUUAGGCUGGGCUGGGAUGCACACACCUCCAGCCACCAUGGUUGAUGACACAAAAUCUCCACUUGGGAUGGUUUUAUCCCAACAGUGCCAAAUUCAGCAUCUUCAGCUUUAUCCAUUCCUGUGGUGCUGCAUCAUCUUAUCUUAGCCAGCCAAUAUCACUGUGUCUCACUUUAACAGAAAUCGCUCUCACCUCCUCAUCUUUGUACCAGGACAGGGACUCAGCGGUCAGGACAAACCAGUACUCCUUGGAGCCUCCCUUCAUGAUGCUGAUGUUGAUGGUUAGCCAGCCUUUUCUGAUCACCUGCACAGUGAUGGAGGAUGGAGGAAAACAGUUAUGGCAACUAGGCAUAUGCACUGUUGAUAUGAGGGCCCCAAAAGUGUGGCACCAUUAACACCGGGAUGUAACUGACACAAUAAAAAUCUUACCUGCUUACCUGCA